UCAUCUCAGGGUUCACGAGGCUCCAGGUCCAGGGCUGGUUUUCAUGUCAAGAAUGUUUGGCACUGGACAGAAAGGAUCAGAAGCAUUUUUCUUUGGAUCCUCCUACCCGCAAAGUUCCUUUUGGGGAUUCCAUUUCGUAUUUUUCACUUCUUUUUUAUUAAAUGGUCUGGGUCCUCAUCCACCCCUGGAAGUCCUUGGCCCUCAAUUAGGAGAGUGCAUAGCCAUAAGGACCAUGUUGUUCACACCACUGACCGGAGGCGUGGAGUUAUUGAGGAUCUUCAUCUUGCAAGUGAAAUCUUUAUUGAAUCUGUCUUUGAAAUGGUCCAUAAGGCUGCACAUUUUAUCCUCUCGCCAUUAGAUGCAUUUAGAACUUUGUUCAGAUGGCUUUUUCCUCGGAACAGUUGUGAGAGAUAUCAUGAUGCAGAUGUCACCGUGCCCACAGCUACGCUUGGAGAUGAUGAUCCUGUGCCUAGUGAAAGGAGCUACACUUUUCAUCAGUCUCUGAAUACGGAUGCCAGAACAUGCCAAGACGUUAUAACGGAGCUUGGGUAUCCAUAUGAAGCUAUACGUGUUGUGACUAAUGAUGGAUAUGUUCUUCUUCUGGA
rnacentral:misc_RNA from 1 species